UACGUAGGGACCAAGCGUUGUUCGGAUUUACUGGGGCGUAAAGGGCGCGUAGGCGGCGUGACAAGAUCACGUUGUGAAACUCUCCCGGGCUUAACUCGGAACGGCCAAGUGAAACUGUCAUGCUAGAGUGCAGAAGGGGCAAUCGGAAUUCUUGGUGUAGCGGUGAAAUGCGUAGAUAUCAGGAAGAACACCCGUGGCUAAGGCGGCUCUCUAGUA
rnacentral:rRNA from 1 species